rnacentral:rRNA from 1 species
AGGAUGAACGCUGGCGGCGUGCUUAACACAUGCAAGUCGAACGGAGAAACGGUAGCUUGCUAUCUUUUUUAGUGGCGGACGGGUGAGUAACGCGUGGGUAACCUGCCCUUUGCAGGGGGAUAACAGUGAGAAAUCGCUGCUAAUACCGCAUACCAACUUCUUUCGCAUGAAAGAAGUUUGAAAGAUUUAUCGGCAAAGGAUGGACCCGCGUUGGAUUAGCUAGUUGGUGAGAUAACAGCCCACCAAGGCAACGAUCCAUAGCCGGCCUGAGAGGGUGAACGGCCACACUGGGACUGAGACACGGCCCAGACUCCUACGGGAGGCAGCAGUGGGGAAUAUUGCACAAUGGGCGAAAGCCUGAUGCAGCGACGCCGCGUGAAGGAUGAAGGUCUUCGGAUUGUAAACUUCUAUCAGCAGGGAAGAAAGGGCUUAUAGCCUAUGACGGUACCUGACUAAGAAGCCCCGGCUAACUACGUG